CCUUCGAUAGCUCAGCUGGUAGAGCGGAGGACUGUAGAGUCACUCAGGGAUCCUUAGGUCGCUGGUUCGAUUCCGGCUCGAAGGA
rnacentral:tRNA from 1 species